rnacentral:rRNA from 1 species
UUUGAUCUGGCUCAGAUUGAACGCUGGCGGCAGGCCUAACACAUUCAACCCCAGCGGAUGAAGGGAGCUUGCUCCCGGAUUCANCGGCGGGCGGGUGAGUAAUGCCUAGGAAUCUGCCUGGUAGUGGGGGACAACGUUCCGAAAGGAGCGCUAAUACCGCAUACGUCCUACGGGAGAAAGUGGGGGAUCUUCGGACCUCACGCUAUCAGAUGAGCCUAGGUCGGAUUAGCUAGUAGGUGGGGUAAUGGCUCACCUAGGCGACGAUCCGUAACUGGUCUGAGAGGAUGAUCAGUCACACUGGAACUGAGACACGGUCCAGACUCCUACGGGAGGCAGCAGUGGGGAAUAUUGGACAAUGGGCGAAAGCCUGAUCCAGCCAUGCCGCGUGUGUGAAGAAGGUCUUCGGAUUGUAAAGCACUUUAAGUUGGGAGGAA